rnacentral:rRNA from 1 species
GUGGGGAAUUGUUCGCAAUGGGCGCAAGCCUGACGACGCAACGCCGCGUGGAGGAUGAAGACUUUCGGGUCGUAAACUCCUUUCGACCGAGAUGAAUGUCCCUCGACCCAACACGUCGAGGGAGUGACAGUAUCGAGGGAAGAAGCCCCGGCUAACUCUGUGCCAGCAGCCGCGGUAAUACAGGGGGGGCAAGCGUUGUUCGGAAUUACUGGGCGUAAAGGGUUCGUAGGUGGCCAACUAAGUCAGACGUGAAAUCCCUCAGCUUAACUGGGGAACUGCGUCUGAUACUGGUUGGCUUGAGUGCAGGAGAGGAACGCGGAAUUCCAGGUGUAGCGGUGAAAUGCGUAGAUAUCUGGAGGAACACCGGUGGCGAAGGCGGCGUUCUGGACUGCAACUGACACUGAGGAACGAAAGCCAGGGGAGCAAACGGGAUUAGAAACCCCAGUAGUCC